rfam:Salmo salar isolate Sally breed double haploid chromosome ssa18, whole genome shotgun sequence.
GUCCCUGUGGCUCAGGUGGUAGAGCAUGGUGUUUGCAACGCCAGGGUUGUUGGUUUGAUUCCCACGGGGGCCA